UGGGGAAUUUUGGACAAUGGGCGAAAGCCUGAUCCAGCAAUGCCGCGUGUGUGAAGAAGGCCUUCGGGUUGUAAAGCACUUUUGUCCGGAAAGAAAUCCUCUGGGUUAAUACCUCGGGGGAGUGACGGUACCGGAAGAAUAAGCACCGGCUAACUACGUGCCAGCAGCCGCGGUAAUACGUAGGGUGCAAGCGUUAAUCGGAAUUACUGGGCGUAAAGCGUGCGCAGGCGGUUUUGUAAGACGGAUGUGAAAUCCCCGGGCUUAACCUGGGAACUGCAUUCGUGACUGCAAGGCUAGAGUAUGGCAGAGGGGGGUAGAAUUCCACGUGUAGCAGUGAAAUGCGUAGAGAUGUGGAGGAAUACCGAUGGCGAAGGCAGCCCCCUGGCAAGUACUGACGCUCAUGCACGAAAGCGUGGGGAGCAAACAGGAUUAGAUACCCCUGGUAGUCCACGCCCCUAAAACGAUGUCAACUAGUUGUUGGGGAUUCAUUUCCUUAGUAACGUAGCUAACGCGUGAAGUUGACCGCCUGGGGGAGUACGGUCGCAAGAUUAAAACUCAAAUGAAUUGAC
rnacentral:rRNA from 1 species